rnacentral:tRNA from 1 species
GGGAGUGUUUGCACGACUGGUGUCGGCCCAGGUCUUCAAAACCUGUGGGACCCUUGAAUAGAGGGUUCAGUGGAUUCGAUUUCCAUACACUCCCGC